rnacentral:tRNA from 1 species
GCCUAGUUAGCGUAGUUAGUAGUGCGUCUGCCUUGUAAGCGCUAGGCCGCGGGUCGCGGGUUCGAUUCCCGCCCGGGGCG